AUAGUUCAGAACCUCCUGGAGGACAGGAAGAGAAGUUGGCUCCUGUGGCUAUUUGGGUCCCCGGUGAGGCUGCUUUGCAUUCCACAGGCACUCUAGACCGAAGGGCUGUUUGUCUAAAUGGCGUCUAGAACUCUCGAUCGCAGCCAUGCCUGAGUGGGCGCGCAGCAGAGUUUAGGCGGUUUGGGGUGCUAAUUAAUUCAGGUGCAGAAGAGCAGCCCAGUCAGGCGAAGCUGGCACCUGGCCCAUGUGUGAGUGGUGACUCACCUGCUGGAAGACAAUCUGGGGACCGUAUAGCUUGAAUAGCAACAAAUACUUGGCUUGAUUCAUGCGUGGAUGUUUACGGAUUAUCUAGAAGGAAAGCUGGAGCCGGGAUG
rnacentral:lncRNA from 1 species